GUUUAUUAAUCUUAAUGAAUGUUAAACACUUUUAUCAGAGAGGAAUAGCAACAGGCGUCGGUGGUGCUGGCGGUUGUGCUGGCGGUGGUGUUGUCGGCACAGCACGCGUCAUUUAAAAUAUGCCCGUGUAAAAGAAGCGCACAGCAUUUACGUCAAUAGCAGCAUAUCGUAGUGCGCAGAGAAGAAGGCGUUGCCCAGGCCGCCAGCUGCUGCCUGUCGUCUGCCAUGUCUUUAUCACACACACACACGCACACACACGAUCUUGUCAAUAUUUGCUAGUCACUUGCUUGUUUGCCUUAUUGCAAAACAGCGGAGCAGCGCACUUGUUUAGGAGUCGUUGACGCUGACAUCGUUGACACGCACCGCUGCUCGAGACCCCUGGGCACAAAUCGUACCCCUAUAUAUAGAUAUACCACAUAUAUAUAUAUAUAUAUAUCUAUAUGUCAAUAUUGACUUUGAGACUAGGUGAGAUAUUACUCAUACGCCUGGCUGGCGCGCCUUUGCAUUAGAUAUUGCAGCUAAUUAGUGAACUCUGCUGUGUAAACAGUCGGGACAGUAGUUGGAAAGUAGUUCACACCUGCCCUAAUCGCCAGCCGUGUGGACUUACGUGGAAAUCAAGGCCAUUUGCAUAAAUGGCCACUGAAAAUAAGUCUGACAGAGGCAGAAACUGAGGCAGAGACCGAGGCAGAGUCACUGCAACUGCAACUGCAACAGCAACAGCAGCCAGUGCCUGUCUCUGUUGUCUCUCUGUCUCCGUCUCUGUCUCUGGCUGGGUUGGGGCUGGCCUGUGUCUGACAACGAUCCCAAUCGCGCACAGCUUGCCUGGCCACUGCCUUGUAUUGAGUUGUUAUGGCCAACGCCUUUGUUUGCCCUGCUUUGUCGUUGUCAGCGUCGUGUGCGGCUGCCGCUGCUGCUGCCGCUGCUGCUGCCGCUGCUGCUGCUGGAAGAAGCCGGUUGGGCCU